rnacentral:rRNA from 1 species
AACGUAGGAGCCAAGCGUUAUCCGAAUUCACUGGGCGUAAAGCGCGUGCAGGCGGUCUGGUAAGUUGGAUGUGAAAUCUCCUGGCUCAACUGGGAGAGGCCGUUCAAUACUGUCAGACUAGAGGGCGACAGAGGGAGGUGGAAUUCCGGGUGUAGUGGUGAAAUGCGUAGAUAUCCGGAGGAACACCAGAGGCGAAGGCGACCUCCUGGGUCGCACCUGACGCUCAGACGCGAAAGCUAGGGGAGCGAACGGG